rnacentral:piRNA from 1 species
UGGGCUAAAGCCACGGUGUCAGCAGGGCU